rnacentral:rRNA from 1 species
UACGUAGGGUGCAAGCGUUAAUCGGAAUUACUGGGCGUAAAGCGUGCGCAGGCGGUUUGUAAGUCUGUCGUGAAAGCCCCGGGCUCAACCUGGGAAUGGCGAUGGUGACUGCGAAGGCUAGAGUUUGGCAGAGGGGGGUAGAAUUCCACGUGUAGCAGUGAAAUGCGUAGAUAUGUGGAGGAACACCGAUGGCGAAGGCAGCCCCCUGGGUCAAAACUGACGCUCGAUGCACGAAAGCGUGGGGAGCAAACAGG